rnacentral:lncRNA from 1 species
UUCGACUCAUGUCCCUGGCUAGGGCUGAGAUUUCUAGGAGGAGGAAUACAGGUGGAAAUGAGCAGCUCUAUGUUAUGACAAAUCAGUCGACGAGUAUCUAUUCUCCACCUCCUUGGUGUCUGGCGCUGUGUGAGGCACAGGCAGCGUAAGGGUGAAUAAGGUACAAAGAACCCUGCUGUCACUGAGCUGUUAGCUGAGAAGGUAGAGAGGACAUGAAGCCAAUCAUUACAAGGCAUCCCAAAAGAUAAAUGAACAAGUGGCAUGGAGUUGUGGCCACGCUUGUGGAGUAUGAGCUCAGGCUAUUCCCCUUCAAAUACUGAUUCAAGACGACAGGAGAUGAUCUUGAGCAGGAUGCAGAAGUUUCUGAGCCUGAAUUUCCCUAAUUGUAAAAUGGGAGAAUUUCUAGUAGCUCCCUGAAAGCACUGAAUGAGAAGUAAAUGUAUUAAUACUUGUAA